UCAAGAGGCUGUGAGGCAGCUCAGCGUCUCCAUUAGAAUUCAGAGUAUUCCACGGUAAUUACAAAACAGCUGUAAUGGAAAAUUGGUAGUCAAACCCAUUUUCCAGCGACUAGAACGGUGAAUGGGCUCCAUUAUGUUCCUAAUUCUCAUUAACUUAAUUUGCAUAGGAAACAAUGAAGGAAUACAUAAUGAAGUACAGUGGGCCAGCAGCCCAGCCCUCACCCCCACAAUGCUGGGUUCAACUUGCACUGACCCACCCCACAGAGAGGGAGAAACCCAGGGCUCCCUGUGGACUGGACCUCCCCCAGGUGACCUGAAGCUGCCCUGAUGGAGCACAAUGGAGGGAUACCACUUGUCUGUAACUUGUUCAGGAUCCCUUUGCCUCAGCACACACCAUGUAAACCCUGAUUCUUCUCCACACCCCUGCUUUGGGGAAGGCUGAAGAACUGGAGCAGAAGGAAAAAGAACUUGUUUUUAGCUCUUCAGGUGCCAUAACUCUGCAUCCCAGAGAGAAAACAAACACCUGCUUGAGAAGCAGUAUUGUUGGUCCCUGUGUAAGAAACAACCAGACGACCCUCCAGAUACAAACACCUUCUCUUCCCUGCAGCCAGCACCACCCUCACAGUUUGGAGCCACAGCCUACCAUGUAUGCAGACAAUAGGAAACAGCAAUGCCUUUGUGCUUCAGGGAGAAGAGGAGAAGGGCAGGAGAGUAAAUGUGGUCGUGACGAAACACAAACCAUGCAAUGCCAUGCACAUCUUUUUCCUGUUGGAUAUCGGGAUGUAUUUGGCUCAAUAUCUAGUGCACGCACAGUAUCAGGCUCACAAAAAUAUGGAGAACUAACUGGAUACCUGAGAAGAGAAGAAGGGAAAGAAGAAGACUGGAGAUGCAAAUGCAUAGAGAACCUGGAGGCAGAAACUAGAGCAGAGGCCAUGGAGGAGCCAUACUACUGACUUACUCCCAGAUUCACACCUCUCAAGACCACCUGCCUAGAGAUAGCACAGCUCACAGUGAGCUGGGCACUCCCCCAUCAAUCAGCAAUCAAGAAAAGACCCUGAAGACAUGUCUACAAGCCAAUCCAAUGGGGGAAAAUUUUCAACUGGGGUUCACACAUCCAAAUGUGACAAGUUGACCACAAGGACCCCAGGCGAAGAGACGGUUUACCUGUAUUCAGAGCGAACCUUCCAAGCGCAGUGAAACCUUUCUGGAGACACCCUCACGGACAAUCACAAAAGUGUCUUUCUUAGUGAUUCCAAAUGUACUAAAGCUGACAAGAAAGAUCAUCCCGUCACACUGGGUUUGCUUCCAGUCUGCUCAGAGAAGGAUUUCCAAGUUUCUCCAGCUGUACUGAGGGGGAAGCUUGGUUCUGGAGCUAAGGAAGUUCAUCAUUUGGUAAAGAUCUUUCUGCAUUGUCACAUGUCGGAAGACAAAUGCCUGAGAGACAGAGAUCACACAAAUCAGUUCUUUUAUCAGGAACCCAUUCUGAGUUUAAUGAGCCUGAGAAUUUUCCUCCAGAGAACGUUUCCCAGAAUAUUACACAGCUUUGGAAACAAAUACCAGCUCCAGUUGUAUGGCCUGAAAACAUCAGUGUGGUCCUAAAGGAAACAAAUCCACCCUAAGGGAGUAUGAUAAGAACCCAACACAACUGUCUUGAGAGGCUUCAUCCAGACGCUGAUGGAAAUAAAUGUAGAGACCCACAGCCAAAACAUUAGACAGAGCAUGAGGAGUCUUGUGGAAGAGUCGGGGACAGGAUUGAGGGAUCCAGAGAGAUCAAGGCUACCACAAGAAGACCUACAGAGUCAACUAAGCUGGGCCCAUGGGGCUUCACAAAGACUGAACCACCAACCAAAAACCAUGUGUUUCUAUGUUUUCAUCAUUAUUUUCAUGAUAAUGCUAGAAGGAAACGUUGUUCUCAUGCCUCUAUAUAUGAAGGCAACCCAAAAGACAUGUGUCAACCUCUACAGCAGCAAGGAAAGGUUGGGAGUGGGAGGCCUCUCAAUACUUUCUGCUUCUCCAAGUGGCCAAACUCACCGGCAGAUCUUGCUGCAGCAAUGACAAGAAAGGUGCUUCCUGGUGAAGUCCUGGAUGAAGCCUAUGGAGAAGGGAAGGCUGCUGAGAACAUCCUGCCACCUCCCACAAUGCACCAAAAAAAGAAGCCUUGGUCUUUAAUGCCAGUCCUAAUUGAGUGGAUGGACCCCAUAGGUGAGCCCCAAAUUGGGAACCAUGGGAGGUUAGAAAUUAAACAGCAGCUUCAGUCUGCAAACUCAGAAACCUUGCAGGCUGGUGGGAGGAGGAGAAGAAACCAGAACUGGUUCUAUGCCCCGAUGCUCUCUGGUGUGGACAUACUGGUGUAGUUACCUGGUGGUGAAAUUUCAGGGCUCUCCAAAGGUAGAGCCACUCCAGCUUCUCACGGGGACUCUUAACAUUUCACAUACUAAACUAUCUCCUUAUACAGAUAGUGAUGAUGCUGAUAUACUGGGUAAAUUAUUUCCAUUUACAUUAAAAUUACACCUGCUUCAUCCAACGGGGAGGAGGACCAACAGGCUCUGGUGAAGUGGAUCAGAGUGAGAAGAAGCUUAACAGAAUUCUGAAAAGGAGCCUGGUUUGACUCUGAAAGUGUUCCGUAGGGAAAGAAGCCUCACCAGAAAUUGGCCAUGUGAAACAGAACUGAGAAUGGAGAAAAUUGCUUCCAGUUCCAGGUAGAGAGACCAAGACAACAUGAUUGGCAAGUGGGAUAUAUGGAAGAGGUCACUAGAGUUCAAGGUCCUUCAUACUCAUGUGAGAGAAAAAGAAAAAGGAAAUGAUGCAAAGAAGAAAUCAAAAGUCCACUGAGUUCAGUCACCCAUAAGAAACAUGAGGUAAGUGACCCAGAGGUUGAGGGGACCUGGGGCUCUAUAACUGAAUGCUGAUCAACCCUCAGGAGAAGAACUGUAGAAAGCAAUGGAGAGGUAGAGAAAGGUAGAAAAGCAGAUAUUUCUGUAGCACUUACCUGUGUAGCACUGACUCUGGGUAGUCUCUAAGUAGAACUGACGGCAUUGCAAACACAAUAAGCAGUUCUAGACAAACUGGAAUAGCAAUCAGUUUGGGAGCCUGGGAGUAGUCACACUUUUGCUGUUGUCAACGCUUUCAGUGGCUUUAAUUUUCAGUGGUAAGCACAACUUCUAUAUAGUGUUGUCAAAAUUGCAAUGAAGUUAUGUCAUUGAAUAUUAAAGGCCCAACCCAUGGAGUGCCAACACAUAGAUUUGAAUUUCAUGCUUGCCCCUAAACAUCAAGAUAAAUAUGUCUAAUUUUAUAAAAACCUGGCCAACCCCAUGGAGGCUGACAAUUACAUCUAUUGUUACCCAAGUAUGCUAGAAUAAAACCUGGCUCUGAUCAAUGUGUGAGAGCAAAAAUUGGAGGGAAGGGGGGAAAGGAAAAAAAACACAAGAAUCAUCAUAGAGGCAGUUCAAAUUGGCUACCUGUGUUUGUAAUCUCCUUGUCAAAUACACUGAUUAAUGGGACAUUUGAUUUCAGAAGGAUGGGGCCUACAUUUAAUGAACAAUUUUGAAAAAUCACACUGAUAGGUUAUGGGGUGAAUAUUGGGAAACUUGAAAAAUAUAAGACUAAAGGAAGGGAUAAAAAAAACAGACCUGUAAGAGCUCCUAUUACAAGCCAGGCACUUGGGCUCCAUCCUGAAGGCAGUAGCAGCCCCAGCAGGAUUCUAAGCACGAGUGAGGUCAUACUUGUUUCUUAGAAAAAUUACUUUGUCUUCAAAGUAAAAAUUGGAUCAAGGCAGUAAAGCUGGAAAUACAUAGAACAGUAAAGGAUCAAAUGUCUCGUGAGUCCCUGAACUGGGGCAACGAUUAAGGAAACAAAACAUGCCCAGCUUUGAGAGGUAAGAGAUCAGUAUGCCUGUCACUGCUUUGAAUGAUAGGGUAAGGAAAAAGGAGUGGUAAGGGAAGUCAAUUAGAUUUCUGGGUGUGACGGGAGUAUAGUCAGUAAGUAACUCAUGAUUCUGAAGUAUUAAUGUACACUAUAUUAAUUCCAGAUUUUCAAUGUACUGUAAGGCAUGUUAAUUAUGAUAAGGGGAGCCUUAGAUGCUCAUCCUAAGUCAAUUGAGUGAAGAGUCCACUCAUCUAAUCAAUGUAUCACUGUGGUGAUCUGAAGCCCUGGGUGAAUGAGUAAGGAGUAGAUGGAGUCCUGCGUGAAUGUGUGCUGUUGGUAUGAUGUCAAGGACCCCAGAUCCAUGGAAAUUGAAGGCCUUCCCCUAGUUAGACUCGGGGAAAGAGCAAAGCCAAUUUCUGGUCUGAAUGAAUGCUAGCAGUGUAUGCAGAAUGCACACUAAUAAAUCCUGGGUUGUGCAGUUGGUACCUCCCAUCAGUGCUAGCACAGCUGACAUGAGCCUCCCUUCUCUACAUGUGUAUGUCAUUUCUUCAGAGUGUUAUGUCUUUACCCCUAAGUCUCCCAUGUCAGGUUUCCAGAAUCAAGCUGUGCAACACAGCACAUGAUGUGAUAGAGAGCUCAAUAGAAAAAGACAGUGACAAAGUCUAAUUUAUAAUUUAGUCCAAUUUGUGAUUUAGACAAAGUCCAAAGUUAGGAAUUGAAUUAGAAGAAGAGCACAGGGAGACCAGAGAAAGACAAGAAAGGUGGUUUGGAAGAAAGAAGGAGAGUGCAUCAAAAGUAGGAUGCUGGAGGUCACAGGGGCAAAGAAACGAAAGCUAAACUACUAGGGAGCUAGAUGUAAAACCCUAACCCAGGGCAGCCCUGUGGUCCUGGGAAGACAGAUGUGGCAUGGGUAGCCUCUUCCUGAGGCUGGGGUAAUUAGCUCUUGACUGAGUCCUAGUAUUUAUGACCUCAUUUCUCCUUUUCUCUUUCUCCAAUUUUCUCAUUUCUCUCAUUCAAGAUGCAAGAUUCUUGCCUCCUUAAUGAAACAUCUCUUGUCCUACAUUACUCUUCUUGGACCUAACUUUCUACCAUACAGAGUUUGAAUCAUGUCCCAUCUAAGCCCGGAAUCACAUGAAUUACCUGUCUGGUUUUCUUCUUCAUGGGUCCAUGUGGCAUAAAUAAAAGAACUGAUAUGGUUUGGAGCCAAUCAGACCUUAAAAUACAAAAUCUCCUAUGGUCCUGAAGCUGCCAUUGCUCCAAACAUCUCACCCCAUCUCACUCUAGCCACACUGUACUCAUCUUGAUCAUUCAAACACACCACACCUCCAGAUCAAUUUGCCGAUGAACCAUGAGUAUGAACAUAUGUCACAAGCAAGAAAAGCCAGCAAAAAGUAUAAUCAACCCCUUGUGUAUGGGCCUAUGAUAGCCUGUGCUCUAGAUUGUAGAUCCCAGAUAGACUACCUUGCCUUAAUCUAUAUACCUAAAUGCAGUGUACUCCAGUUGCUUGGCAAAUUUCCUGGACCUACAACUGAUACUAAGAAUAUAAAAAAUAAAGCUGCAUAGUGUUGAACAACUGACAUCUGGAUAUCUUUUGUUCCUGCCUUGUAUAGCCAUUUCUGAUAAACAUAGAGGCCAGAAGGCUCUGAAACUAGAGAACAAUGAGAAAUCUACAAAU
rnacentral:sRNA from 1 species